rnacentral:lncRNA from 1 species
AUUAUGGAGAGUUGGGGGAAGAGGGAAAGUAUUGGGGAGAAGAGGGAGAGUAUUCUGGAGAGUUGGGGGAAGAGGGAGAGUAUUGGGGAGAAGAGGGAAAGUAUUGGGGAGAAGAGGGAGAGUAUUGGGAGAAGAGGGAGAGUAUUUUGGAGAGUUGGGAGAAGAGGGAAAGUAUUGGGGAGGGAGAGUAUUCUUGAAAGUUGGGGGAAAAGGUAGAGUAGUGGGGAGAAGAGGGAGAGUAUUCUUGAGAGUUAGGGGAAAGAGAGUACUGGGGAGAAGGAGGGGAAGAGGGACAGUGAGAAGGAGGGGAAGAGGGAGAGUAGUGUGGAGAGUUUGGGGUAGAGGGAGAGUAUUAGGGAAAAGAGGGAAAGUAUUGGGGAGAAGAGGGAAAAUAUUCUGAAGAGUUGGAGGAAGAGGGAGAGUAUUGGGGAGAAGAGGGAGAGUUAGGAGAAAGAUAGUACUGGGGGAAGAAGGAGGGGAACAGGGAGAGUAAUGUGGAGAGUUUAGCGAAGAAGAAGGGGAAAGAGGACAGUAAUCUGCAGAAUUUGGGGAAGAGGGAGAUUAGUGUGGAGAGUUUUGGGAUGAUGGGAUUUCAGAGGACUUUUCUUUUUCUUUGUUUCUGCCUUCUUAUUUGUCUCUGCCCAGUAGAUCUCAUUUCCUUCCUUUUUCUUGAGUUUUGUCUCUCUAGAAAAUCUCCCAUCUCCUUUUCUUUUCUCACAAUCUGCACAAUAUAAUAAAAAGAGUAAAUCAAAGUGAAUCUUUUCUCACAAUCUGCACAAUAUAAUGAAAAGAGUAAAUCAAAGUGAAUCUUUUCUCACAAUCUGCACAAUAUAAUGAAAAGAGUAAAUCAAAGUGAAAUUAAAAAGAUUUGAGGUCUAAGAAAUUAAAUAAUUAAUAAAAUAGUAAAAUAAGGAAAAAUUGGGAAAAUAUACAAAAAGUCGGAAAUACAAGAAACAAAUACAGAUCUUGAAACAAUAAAUAAAUACACAUUAACAGUAGUUGUAUAGAACACAUAAAUACUCAUUAAUAAUAUAAUAACUCAAUUCCAAUUUUUCUUUAUUUUCUUAUUUUUUCUGAUUUUAUUUAGGAUUCACUUUUAAGCCAUUGCAAAUUACAACAUUAAAAGCUAAAACUAUAAGUAUAUAAAAGAAAACCGAAGAAUAAAAGGAAAAACAGAAAGUUUUUCUCUAUUUUUUCCUUUUUUUUAUUUCCGUUUUUUCUUUUUAAAUUUUAUUUUAUUUUUCUGUUUUUUUAGAUUUUCUAAUUUCUCUCUUCUGCAUUUUCCAUUUCCCAUUCCAAAGAUUGAAAACAGAAAAGUAGAAAAACAAAAAAAAUGCCCCAUACGUAUUUCCCUUUGUUUUUUUGCAUUUUCAUUUUUUUUGCUGGUUUAUUAAUGUCCUUUACAAAACAUAAACUAAAACAGAAAUUGCAAUUUCAAUUUGCUCCUUAUUUCAUUGUUUGGAUUUUAUUUGGGAUUCAUCGUCUAAGCCCUUAUAAAUUUCAAUAUCAAAAGUUAAAACUAAUAUAUUAAAAAAAAACCAAAAAGAUAGGGUUUGUUCAAAUUUUUAUAUUUUCGGGUAGUAAUUUUAGGGGUUUUUACAAAAUUGUAAAACCCUUCUUUAAUAACCUAAAAUUGAAACCCAAAAGAAAAAAAAAACAAUACAAAACUAUAAAACCCUAAUUCUUGAUUUAAACCUAAAUUGGAAACAAAUGUUUCCUUUUUAUCCUACUUUCUAAAACUAAAGCACUAAAUAUUAAAUACUACUGAAUAUUUGAAUAAAAAACUCACCUGGGACUGUUGAAGCUGGCCGCCUGAACCAGCAGAAACUUGCCGGAGGAGCUUCUGGCUUUUCUUCAUUUUUUAAUCUUGCGAAAAGAGUGAGGAACGAUAAAACCUCCGUUUCCCUCUCUAAUUGAAAUGGAAAAGUUUUCCAUUAUUAAAAGGUGAAAACGUAUUCCAGUCCCAUGGGCGUACACUGUUCAUA